UCCAUCACCAUAUGCGCUCCACCAUCGCUAGGGCUCCCUGCUGCCCAUGGCCACCAACCACAUCGAUCCCCCCAACAUUGCGUUUACCCAAGCGCCCUUGGAUCGAUCCAUUGCCGCACUGACCCAAUCCUUCGCCGGGAUGGACCGGCGCCACGUCCCCGCCUAGGAAACCAAGCCUGCUCGCCAAGGUCCGUGCACCACUAGACCACUACCUUUUCUUUUGUGUCGUUGCCAAGAUCACCAGAUAGAGACACUUGUUCUACUACACUGCAAAAGUCGUAAUGACCCCAACGAUCUCAGAUUCGUCAAGAUCCUCUCCAACAAGUGUACAUCUAUCAUCGUCGUGGAUACGACAAGACCAUGUGAACCGCUAGUUCCACUACGACCAUCGCGAGAAUGUCUACUUCCUCUAUGCUGCAUUGUACCCAGUACGCCUCAACUAUACGCUUCAAACGUAUACCGUCGGGACAAGGCUCGUGAACAAAUGCAUGUGUGAUGUAUGAGAUGAACUGCAUGUUUGCACCUUACAUGAUUUCUCGUUGCACGUUGCCCAUAUUUUUCCAUGCCACCGACAUGUGGGACACCUGGUAGCGGGAUCACUCCCUAUCAUCGUUUGCACGACACACUCACAACCACACU
rnacentral:lncRNA from 1 species